UAGCAAAUCCAAUUAUUACUACUUCACAAAUCCAGUUACCUUUAAAUGGGUCUGACAUUCUUGCUCGUUAUUUGAACCAGUCACUUGGUGUGCAGCUACAGAAUGCUCAUUCACAGAUUUCUCGAGAGAGCAGAACCAAUCUAUUAGGAGGUAAAAAAAACCACACUCAGCAAGGAAAGUAUGUCAAUUGUUGCACGGAAUUUGCUUCGCUUGAGUUUAUACAGAGGUAGCCCUUGAGCGGUUAAUUCCGGUUCACAGCCAAGUGUGCAGCUCGUCGAUUAUGAGGUUGCAGGUUCCGAUGUAGUCGUUUGCCUUGCCAUUGUAAACCCUACUGUUUCUCUCCUUCCAAAUCUGCCACCAAAUGAGCAUGUAAAAGGCCGAGAAAUCUUUACGGUGAUACACAGUGAUGUUAUCAAGAAUAUGUAGCCAUCACUGUAGCAGGAGGGAAUGAAUAUGUGCCAUAGCUUGGCCGUAGGUAAUUGAAUUUCAUCAGAAAAAAAAUCCCCAAACAGCAGCAAGGAAACGGAAGGUUGCAAGUAAGUGUACCGUAGACUCAAACCGCAUAAUCCUGUUUGCUGAUGGAUUUGGUAAUUUUUUGGCGCACAAUGGAUCAACCACCACUGCUAAAUAUGCCUCUUCUUGGCCAACAUCUCGUUCAUCUCGGCCAGCAUCAGCCUUCGGCGUGCCAUCCCUGACCACCACAGCCU
rnacentral:lncRNA from 1 species